GUUCAGCUGGGUGGAUGCGAAGGACGUUGUGCGCCUCCUGGCCCCAGACAUUGGGAUGGCACGUGUGGGCCUGGUCACCUCCAAGCUGGGCCAUGAGCUGGUGAGGCCUCCUGGGACCACAGCACCUUCCCCUUUCGAUACCAUGGACCACGAGGAGGACGAGACGGCGGGAGAGAGACACAGCAUGGAGGGCCCGGCAGCAUCCUCAAGUCUCCUAGUCGAGUACCGGCUCUGCCUUGGUGCCACCCUGUGCUUUGCUGUCAGCUUUGCCAGCAAGGUGGUGGUAUACAGGGUCAUCUACGUCCUCCUCUUCCUGUUCUGGGUGACCUGGCACCAGGUAAACCCCGGUGGGACCCCAAGCCCCCAGUCCCUGCCCUGCUUCUCUGCCCCAGGCUGCUUCCUCCUUCUGCUUUCUGACUUCUGGCCCUGCCAUGUGUGGUUGCCUCGGGGCUGGCACUCUCCUCAUGGAGAGGGGACCACGCAGCUCACAGGCUUCACACCCACAGCUGCUCUGCCAAGCCUCUGACCCGGGUGCCCAUUCACAUUUAUCAACAAGUCCACACAGCCUGCUCCACGACCAGACGCACCAACCCUGCCUCCAGAUACGUGAGCGUUCCAACACAUGGGUGGAGAGAGAGUGCAUGGAACACGGGAGCCACAGACAGAGGAAGAGAUCAAUUUCCAAUACCACCUGGACUGCUCAAUAUACAGACAGAACUCCCAAUGCCUCAGCUUUCUGGCUGUCCGGGGGCGGCAGGUUGGGCAGGGGGUUACCCUUCCCAAUGCUGAGAUUUGCUUUUCUGCAGGAAACUUAACUGAAGGCCUGGACCCCUGACUUCACUUUGCAUGUCUUGUUAAAACUUAUCUAGACCCUCAUAUAAGAAUAAGCUUGGGGACUUCCCUGAUGGUCCAGUGGUUAAGACUCCACACUCACAAUGCAGGGGGGCUGGGUUCGAUCCCUGGUCAGGGAACUAAAUCCUGCAUGCCACAACUGAAGAUCCCAUACCUCACAAC
rnacentral:lncRNA from 1 species